AGGGUUCUUAACGUGAUUUUCAGUCGUUCGUUCGAAUUCGUUUCCGUUUCCUUUUCUUUUUUUUUUUUUUAAUACCACGUGGCAUGCCACGUCAGGCAGUCAGCUGCAGCGGUCACCGGGAGGUGGCACAGUAGCGCGACCCUAAAGCAUAAAGCAGAUAAACCAAUGGCAGAAUUUAAGUAAAAAACAAACAAGUUCGCCAGGCGGUAGGGCGGGGAACGUAGCGAAACGAAAAAACGCGGGUAAAUUAGAAAGGAGUCGUUAGGACUAGGGAGUUCAAAAAACUUGAACAAAGAGUGAUCGAGAAAUGGAGGAUUCGGGAGCGAUCCUCUGCCAGAUCUCUUCCCUCAAGGACAUGCUCGAUCAGGUGAAUCAAGAAAUAGAGGCGAACAUUCAGAUUACACGCGAGAUAGAAGCGGAGAUCUUCAAGUGCUCAGAGAUCGAGAGCGCCUUGGCUGUUAGAGAAUCGGAGCUUUCAAAGACGCUUUACGUUUCGCACUUUGAAAUCGAUGGAUUCGCCACCGUUACUGCACAUGCAAGGACCUCACUGAAUUCCUUGGAGAAGGAAUUGUGUUGUCUAAGAAUGGAACGGGACGAGACGCUAAAAAGAAUAAAUGACAAGCGGGAAGGAUUUACCACUCUGUGCUUAGAAUUCCAGAAGGACAUUGACAAAGGGAAAAACGAUGAACUGAGGCCUUUGUUGUUGGAGAAAGAGUUCCUUGAAAAUGAAAUCCAUCUGCUGGAUAAGAAAAAUAACGGCUUGAAGAAUUCAAUGUUGGUUUUUGUGGAAGAAAUCCUUGAAGAACUUCACAAUGCUAACUCUGCACAAAGGAUUCCACUAUCAGAUCCUCCAAAUGGUCCACAAUAUCUGCACAACAUUUCCAAAUUUCAUGCUCGAUACUUCACACCAUGUUGUAGAAGAAUUGAAAUGAUGGCUUGUGGCAGUGUGGGAUUACCUCUAGAAGGGUUUUAUUGAGGCAUACUGAUGGAAAGUAAUAUACACUCAUUUGGUUUUCCAUUUCCUAAUUUCACUUCUUUUUUGGAGAACUCUCAAAAAGAGUCCAGGUUCUCACCUUUUCUCUCUCAAGCUCUAUGGAAUUGUGCAGAGAAGUGUUCUCCCUAUUUUGGAAGUCUUGUCACCAAGGAUUGUCCACCAAGUGAAGGAAUAACAAGGCUCUAAUAUCACAAGAUGUGGCACAAGCAAUAAUGAAGCCACCUCUGAAUCUUUGGACACUACAAGAUGGGCGGAGAAAGAAAAAAUUCUCAAUUUGAGAACAGCUCCAUGAUAAACUCAAUGAUAUUAGAUAGCUUUACAAGUCGAGAUAGAGGCAGGGAAAGAGGAGAAUGAGAAAUUGCUCAAGGAUAUCGAUUGCAUGAAGACACAGUUGCUUUCAACUCUCAUGAUUGAUGAUGAUCAUUGGUAAAAUCAUUGUGCAUAGCUGCAGUAAAACGAGCACUGCUGAUGGUUGAAAGUGGUAGCACUGGUAAAUUGGUAAUGGUGGUCAGGUAACAAUAUAUGACCUGAAAAUGGAACCAUUGAUCUGUCGAGAAAAGGUUCUAAAACCAAAACAUAUAUGACCAGAAAAUCAUUGCAAAUGCAUAUAAUAAGAACCCCUUAACAUAAAGUAGUUGGUUUUAUUAAUUUCUGUCUCUCCAAUGCAUUUUAGGAUUUAGAUCUGUCUUCUAUCCCCACAUUGAGUAAGUUUACCUCCAAGCUACCAAAAAUGAAUCUUGUGGUUUUCUCAAAGCCUUCGUAGCAUAUGCUAAAAAACCAAAAGCCUUCGUAGCAUAUAAUGCUAACCAAAGGCAUGCUGGCCUGAGAGUAUUUUGGGCUGAAAACCAACCCUUACGGGUCUCGACCCCUUUGAAACUGGUGACACCAAUUGACUGGCGGUGGACGGUUACCAGCACCGAUCCCGACGGUCUGUGUUCGGCCUCCGCGUUAUUGGAAGUUUCCGGCCUCAAUGAUUAUUACUCGUUUUGGGUUUGUGCUUCAAAAUGUAAAACAUUGGCUUUUUAUUUUUAUUUUUAUUUUUAACAUAUCAUUUGGUUUUUGAAAACCUCAAUUUUAUUUUUAUUUUAUAAGCUCAAUUUUAAAUAUUGAUGAAUAGAAACCAACCGUUGGGCUUCACAAGCUAUUCACCAUCACAUUGUUUCUUAAAUCUUUAGUUUUUUUCUUUUUCUUUUUCAAAUGAAUGGUUGGUGGUGUGGAAUCGACCAUAAAAAUAAAAGAAUGAUCCAUUUAUGAAAGUAAAAAGGUCGUCAUUUAAAUGAACUAUUAAACAUAAUUAGCAACUAAUUGUAACUUUGUCGACAAUGUGAUUGGGAGUAGUUGAUUAAUUUUAAUAUUGUUGAGUGUGGCUUAACUCUUAUUGAAAAUGCCAUUUUGGAAACUUGGCUUGACUGUGGCUCGACACUGGCUCAACUAUGACUCGACCUUAGCUCGACAAUCCGCUCUAGUGAAUUUCAGACAAAUUGUUCUCUUGACAUCUUCUCGACAGUCCGUUCAAGCGAAUUCCAGUCAGAUUGUUUGCUCGGCGGUCAGUUCGAGCGAACAUCAGGCAGAUUGUUCGCUUGACACAUCACUCAAGCAAAUAUUCAUAAUUAGGAUUUUCCAUGCUGUACAAUAUAAAUACAUACUAUUUUUUCAUUGUAUUGUGAGUUUGAGCAGCUAGAAUAAAGAGAAAUGAAAGGAAACUCCUUUUGUGAGAUUUUGAGAACUCAUUAGAUUGUGACUUUGAGCAGCCAGGAUAAAGAAAAAAGAGAAAGAGAACUCAUUUUGUGAGAUUUUAAGAACUCAUUGGAUGUAUUGUGGAUUUUGGAAUUGAGGAUGAAUUUAUGAUA